rnacentral:miRNA from 1 species
AAUACAGAAUGCUUAGUUAAAUUUGAAUUUCAGAUAAACGGCAAAUAAUUUUUUAGUAUAAGUAUAUCCCAUGCAAUAUUCAGGACAUACUUAUGCUAAAAAUUAUUCGUUAUUUAUCUGAAAUUCAAAUUUAACUGGGCAUCUUUUAUUUU